AUUGAACGCUGGCGGCAGGCCUAACACAUGCAAGUCGAACGAAUGGCGGACGGGUGGGUAAUGUCUGGGAAACUGCCUGAUGGAGGGGGAUCACUAGUGGAAAAGGUAGCUAAUACCGCAUAACAUCAGAUGUGCCCAGGUGGGAUUAGCUCGUUGGUGGGGUAACGGCUCACAAAGGCGACGCUCCCUAGCUGGUCUGAGAGGAUGACCAGCCACACUGGAACUGAGACACGGUCCAGACUCCUACGGGAGGCAGCAGUGGGGAAUAUUGCACAAUGGGCGAAAGCCUGAUGCAGCAAUGCCGCGUGUAUGAAGAAGGCCUUCGGGUUGUAAAGCACUUUCAUCGGGGAGGCGUUACCCGCAGAAGAAGCACCGGCUAACUCCGUGCCAGCAGCCGCGGUAAUAC
rnacentral:rRNA from 1 species